rnacentral:lncRNA from 1 species
AAGCACGCUGCCCGUGUAGGUUGGUUCCUGACUCCCGACCCUGACCUUUUCUUCCCUCAUCCAAGGAAACCCUUGUCUCCAUCCCUCCCACUCAUUUCAUCUUCAGGGCCCUUAUCUCCUCCUCAAAUUAUAAAUUUGUUCCAAAUCUCUUUCUCACUGAACUGUAAGCAACAAGAGGCCAGGCUCCCGUCUUCAUUUGCUCACUCUACUUUUUUUCACUUUUUCCAAGGCCCCGCAUAAUGACUGGAAAAGGACAGUUGUUAGAGAAACAAACAAGCAAGCAAACUACUAGAAAACUCCCUGUAUUUUCAACUUUCAUUACUGACUGUACUUUUUUUCAAGUACCAACAAUCAAGAUAUUUAGAUUGCAUGGAGGAACAAAAGUUUAAUUCCUCGUUUAAAAAAUUCCCUGUGUUGCAUUAAUUAGGAAUGUGGCAGCAAUAUGUUUUCUUCUAGUUCAUUUUUUUUCCUCGAGACAGACAUAUUUCAGUUAUGUACUGUGGCCAUCCAGUUUUUUGUGAGCUACUUGGAGUGUAACCGCUGUCUCUAACAUCAUUUUGAUGUCAAAAGGGAACUUACUGAGCCUGGCAUCGUUCUAAAUACUUUUGCAUAUUUAAAGCUAUUCCGUCUUCACAUAGCUAUGUAAAAUUGAUAUUUUUAAUUAUAAUUUUGCGGAAAAAGAAAUUAGAGGGGAAAUUAGAGAAGAUCAGAGAAGUUAAGUAGCUUGCCAAAGUCACACAGCUAGUGAAUAAAAUUAUUAGGAAGCUCUGUAUAACUCUAAAGCCCAUGCUUUCUCUGUCGUAUGAACUGACUUACAAGUAAAUAUUUUGAGACGGAGAAAAGAAGACCUCCUAAUUAAGUUCUAUUUUGGAUUAGUGGGAUCAACCUUCUGAGGAAACCAACAGUAAAAGUUGGACAAAAUCGUCGAUAAUGGAACUAAAACUUUUGUUCAGCAGAUUGGCCACCAGUUUUCACUGACAAAAUCCCACGUAGUUUUGGUGUGGAUGUAGCGACCGACUGUGUUUAACCAAAGAUAUGCCAAUCUGCUGUAAGUUUACUCACCAAUCAAAGCCAACGAUUCAAACCUGAUGACACGGAUGGUCAAAGGCUGGGAGCCAAGGCUGGCGGGCAGGUGUCUGAGGGAGCCUCUAGGCUCCGCAGAGGUGUGGAGCAGAGCCCCUGCUAGAUAUCACCCUGUGAUGACCCUGAGUAUUAGGGGCUGGGAAACUUGUCAAAAAAUAUGGAACUCUUAUGAAAGCAAUUCAGCCACUCCAGUUGAAUGGCAUCGUCUCUGCAGAGGGGCAUGUUUGCUUGACCACCAACCAUACGGCGGCUCUCAUCUCACAGUUUGCACACGGACGCCCCAUAGUUGUAUAUUCUUCGUUGUGGUAUGUGGGAUGCUGCCUCAGCGAGGUGUGAUGAGCAGUGCCAUGUCCGCACCCAGGAUUUGAACCAACGAAACACUGGGCCGCCUGCAGCGGAGCGUGCUUUUCUUACUAACCUGUAAGGAAUGACUUCGUGGGACUUCACUCCUAUGCCUUAGCACUUAGGAUGAAAAUAUUGCGGCCAAGGAGGGCAUUUCUCUGGAGGCAAUGUGGGAAACGUAAGCGGAAAAAAUCAGGAGACUACUGCAACAGCUCUGGGGAAAUGUGAUACAGAUUUGAAUUGAAAAGCAGUGGCAGUGAAGAUGGAAAAAGAAUGCAGUUUUGAGUCAUUUCUAAAGCAUCACUUGGAUCUGAUGUCUAUUUGGAUAUGAUGUGGUGAGAAAGACAGCAUAGAUGCAAAAAUUCAAAAUGUAAUAACAAAAUGUGAACUCAAUCCUGGACAUAGUUGAGAAGAUUUGGCAACAAUCGUAGAAAGCAGGUGCUGCCAGAGCUGAAUGGCUGCAGAUUGAUGCACUGGACAUUUUCUGUGGAAGCUUAUAAGGACAGACAAAUGGAGGAUCAGAUGACUUCUCCCUUCCCAAUACCUUGGCCUCUGGAUGCUUGACGCAAGCUUGGUGAGGUUGGAUACACUAAACAAAUGAGGUUCAAGUUUCUUGCCAGCCCAGCUGUGGAGGGAGGAGAGAGUUGAACAAAAUUU